UGGGGAAUUUUGGACAAUGGGGGAAACCCUGAUCCAGCCAUCCCGCGUGUGCGAUGAAGGCCUUCGGGUUGUAAAGCACUUUUGGCAGGAAAGAAACGUCAUGGGUUAAUACCCCGUGAAACUGACGGUACCGGCAGAAUAAGCACCGGCUAACUACGUGCCAGCAGCCGCGGUAAUACGUAGGGUGCAAGCGUUAAUCGGAAUUACUGGGCGUAAAGCGUGCGCAGGCGGUUCGGAAAGAAAGAUGUGAAAUCCCAGAGCUCAACUUUGGAACUGCAUUUUUAACUACCGGGCUAGAGUGUGUCAGAGGGAGGUGGGAUUCCGCAUGUAGCAGUGAAAUGCGUAGAUAUGCGGAGGAACACCGAUGGCGAAGGCAGCCUCCUGGGAUAACACUGACGCUCAUGCACGAAAGCGUGGGGAGCAAACAGG
rnacentral:rRNA from 1 species